rnacentral:rRNA from 1 species
AUUGAACGCUGGCGGCAGGCCUAACACAUGCAAGUCGAACGGUAGCACAGAGAGCUUGCUCUCGGGUGACGAGUGGCGGACGGGUGAGUAAUGUCUGGGAAACUGCCCGAUGGAGGGGGAUAACUACUGGAAACGGUAGCUAAUACCGCAUAACGUCGUAAGACCAAAGUGGGGGACCUUCGGGCCUCACACCAUCGGAUGUGCCCAGAUGGGAUUAGCUAGUAGGUGGGGUAAUGGCUCACCUAGGCGACGAUCCCUAGCUGGUCUGAGAGGAUGACCAGCCACACUGGAACUGAGACACGGUCCAGACUCCUACGGGAGGCAGCAGUGGGGAAUAUUGCACAAUGGGCGCAAGCCUGAUGCAGCCAUGCCGCGUGUAUGAAGAAGGCCUUCGGGUUGUAAAGUACUUUCAGCGGGGAGGAAGGCGGUGAAGUUAAUAGCUUCACCGAUUGACGUUACCCGCAGAAGAAGCACCGACUAACUCCGUGCCAGCAGCCGCCGUAA